rnacentral:rRNA from 1 species
GUGGGGAAUUUUGGACAAUGGGCGAAAGCCUGAUCCAGCAAUGCCGCGUGUGUGAAGAAGGCCUUCGGGUUGUAAACUGCUUUUGUACGGAACGAAACGGUCCUGGUUAAUACCUGGGGCUAAUGACGGUACCGUAAGAAUAAGCACCGGCUAACUACGUGCCAGCAGCCGCAGUAAUACGUAGGGUGCGAGCGUUAAUCGGAAUUACUGGGCGUAAAGCGUGCGCAGGCGGUGCUGUAAGACAGGCGUGAAAUCCCCGGGCUCAACCUGGGAAUUUCGCUUGUGACUGCAGUGCUGGAGUACGGCAGAGGGGGAUGGAAUUCCGCGUGUAGCAGUGAAAUGCGUAGAUAUGCGGAGGAACACCGAUGGCGAAGGCAGUCCCCUGGGCCUGUACUGACGCUCAUGCACGAAAGCGUGGGGAGCAAACAGGAUUAGAUACCCUUGUAGUCC